CGAGUCGGCCGGACGGUCGCGGCAGUCGCAAGGCUGUCGAGGAAAGUCCGGGCUCCACAGGGCAGGGUGGUCGGUAACACCGACCCGGGGUGACCCGCGGGACAGUGCCACAGAGAGAAGACCGCUCGGGCUUCGGUCCGAGCAAGGGUGAAACGGUGGGGUAAGAGCCCACCAGCGCCCGGGGUGACCCGGGCGGCUCGGCAAACCCCACCCGGAGCAAGGUCAAGAGGGAGUCCUCCGGGACUCCUGCGCAGGCGCUCGAGGGCGGCCCGUCCGAUGCCUGCGGGUAGACCGCACGAGGCCACCGGCAACGGUGGUCCCAGAUGGAUGACCGUCGGCACCGCUUCGGCGGUGACCACAGAACCCGGCUUAUAGGUCGACUCGUCCC
rnacentral:RNase_P_RNA from 1 species